UACGUAGGGCGCAAGCGUUGUCCGGAAUUAUUGGGCGUAAAGAGCUUGUAGGUGGCUUGUCGCGUCUGCCGUGAAAACCCGAGGCUCAACCUCGGGCGUGCGGUGGGUACGGGCAGGCUAGAGUGUGGUAGGGGAGACUGGAACUCCUGGUGUAGCGGUGAAAUGCGCAGAUAUCAGGAAGAACACCGAUGGCGAAGGCAGGUCUCUGGGCCAUUACUGACACUGAGAAGCGAAAGCAUGGGGAGCGAACAGG
rnacentral:rRNA from 1 species